GAGUAACACGUGAAUGAUCUACCUCCGAGUGGGGAAUAACCUAGAGAAAUCUGGGCUAAUACCGCAUAACACUUACGAGUCAAAGCAGCAAUGCGCUUGGAGAGGAGUUCGCGGCCGAUUAGUUAGUUGGCGGGGUAAUGGCCCACCAAGACGAUGAUCGGUAUCCGGCCUGAGAGGGCGCACGGACACACUGGAACUGAAACACGGUCCAGACUCCUACGGGAGGCAGCAGUGGGGAAUUUUGCGCAAUGGGGGAAACCCUGACGCAGCAACGCCGCGUGGAGGAUGAAAUCCCUUGGGAUGUAAACUCCUUUCGAUCGGGACGAUUAUGACGGUACCGGAAGAAGAAGCCCCGGCUAACUUCGUGCCAGCAGCCGCGGUAAUACGAGGGGGGCAAGCGUUGUUCGGAAUUAUUGGGCGUAAAGGGCGCGUAGGCGGUUUGACAAGUCUGAUGUGAAAUCUCUGGGCUCAACUCAGAGUCUGCAUUAGAAACUGUCGGGCUUGAGUAUGGGAGAGGUGCGUGGAAUUUCCGGUGUAGCGGUAAAAUGC
rnacentral:rRNA from 1 species